rnacentral:rRNA from 1 species
AACGUAGGUUCCGAGCGUUAUCCGGAUUUACUGGGCGUAAAGCGCGUUCAGGCGGUUUGGCAAGUCGGGCAUGAAAUCUCUCGGCUCAACCGGGAGAGGUUGUCCGAUACUUCCAGACUUGAGGGCAGUAGAGGGUGGUGGAAUUCCGGGUGUAGUGGUGAAAUGCGUAGAUAUCCGGAGGAACACCAGUGGCGAAAGCGGUUGCCUGGGGCUUUGCUGACGCUGAGGCGCGAAAGCCAGGGGAGCGAACGGG